UACGGGGGGGGCAAGCGUUGUUCGGAAUUACUGGGCGUAAAGGGCUCGUAGGCGGCCAACUAAGUCGGAUGUGAAAUCCCCAGGCUUAACCUGGGAAUUGCAUCCGAUACUGGAUGGCUUGAAUCCGGGAGAGGGAUGCGGAAUUCCAGGUGUAGCGGUGAAAUGCGUAGAUAUCUGGAGGAACACCGGUGGCGAAGGCGGCAUCCUGGACCGGCAUUGACGCUGAGGAGCGAAAGCCAGGGGAGCAGACGGG
rnacentral:rRNA from 1 species